UACGGAGGGAGCUAGCGUUGUUCGGAAUUACUGGGCGUAAAGAGCUCGUAGGUGGUUUGUCGCGUUGUUCGUGAAAACUCACAGCUCAACUGUGGGCGUGCGGGCGAUACGGGCAGACUAGAGUACUGCAGGGGAGACUGGAAUUCCUGGUGUAGCGGUGGAAUGCGCAGAUAUCAGGAGGAACACCGGUGGCGAAGGCGGGUCUCUGGGCAGUAACUGACGCUGAGGAGCGAAAGCGUGGGGAGCGAACAGG
rnacentral:rRNA from 1 species